UGGGGAAUAUUGCACAAUGGGCGCAAGCCUGAUGCAGCGACGCCGCGUGAGGGAUGACGGCCUUCGGGUUGUAAACCUCUUUCAGCUCCGACGAAGCGCAAGUGACGGUAGGAGCAGAAGAAGCACCGGCCAACUACGUGCCAGCAGCCGCGGUAAUACGUAGGGUGCAAGCGUUGUCCGGAAUUACUGGGCGUAAAGAGCUCGUAGGCGGUUUGUCGCGUCGUCUGUGAAAUUCUGCAGCUUAACUGCAGGCGUGCAGGCGAUACGGGCAGACUUGAGUACUGCAUGGGAGACUGGAAUUCCUGGUGUAGCGGUGAAAUGCGCAGAUAUCAGGAGGAACACCGGUGGCGAAGGCGGGUCUCUGGGUAGUAACUGACGCUGAGGAGCGAAAGCGUGGGUAGCGAACAGG
rnacentral:rRNA from 1 species